rnacentral:rRNA from 1 species
UACGUAGGUGGCAAGCGUUGUCCGGAAUUACUGGGUGUAAAGGGCGCGUAGGCGGGAAUGCAAGUCAGAUGUGAAAUCCCGAAGCUUAACUUCGGGGCUGCACCUGAAACUGUAUUUCUUGAGUGUCGGAGAGGAAAGCGGAAUUCCCCGUGUAGCGGUGAAAUGCGUAGAUAUGGGGAGGAACACCGGUGGCGAAGGCGGCUUUCUGGACGAUAACUGACGCUGAGGCGCGAAAGCGUGGGUAGCAAAC